rnacentral:rRNA from 1 species
UAGGGAAUCUUCCACAAUGGACGAAAGUCUGAUGGAGCAACGCCGCGUGAGUGAAGAAGGGUUUCGGCUCGUAAAACUCUGUUGUUAAAGAAGAACAUAUCUGGGAGUAACUGUUCAGGUAUUGACGGGUAUUUUAACCAGAAAGCCACGGCUAAAUACGUGCCAG